rnacentral:sRNA from 1 species
GUGAGAUUUUUGAAAUAAGAGACAUGUGAUAGCAAGAUCAGAAAGUAAGAGAUAAAUUGAAAUUACAUGUUAGAAUAUUUAAAUAAGACCAAGUGCUUGCUCGACAGUUUUCGACUCUCCAGGCUG